rnacentral:rRNA from 1 species
CAGUCGCCGCGGGAAUACGAAGGGGGCUAGCGUUGCUCGGAAUCACUGGGCGUAAAGGGUGCGUAGGCGGGUUUUUAAGUCAGAGGUGAAAUCCUGGAGCUCAACUCCAGAACUGCCUUUGAUACUGAGAAUCUUGAGUUCGGGAGAGGUGAGUGGAACUGCGAGUGUAGAGGUGAAAUUCGUAGAUAUUCGCAAGAACACCAGUGGCGAAGGCGGCUAACUGGCCCGAUACUGACGCUGAGGCACGAAAGCGUGGGGAGCAAACAGGAUUAGAUACCCCGGUAGUCCCUGUCUCUUAUAC